UACACAAACGCGAAUAAAAAAUAAUGUAAAACAUACCAAACAACCAUUAUUUGCUUGUCCAGGCAAAUUUGGACCAAAAUUGUGCCCUUUAAGACAACAUUUUGGAAAUUCUAAGGCCUGAUAAAGACUUACAAUAAUGUGUAAAACUACAUACACUUUUCCAACAGCUUGGAGAACUAUGAAUUGGUUGCUAUCUGUAUGCUGUAUAAUAAUAUCUGGGAUUUUUGGACCUGUAGCUAAUGUAGCUUUUGUGGCUGCUGGUCCUGAAGGAGAAAUGGCAGUCACCUGCAAAACGGAGCCCGAAUACUGCUCGCUACUAACCUACAUUAACUACUUAAUGUGGAUAUUAUUCUUCACAAGCUGUACCCUGUUCUUCGCUUGCUGGUUUAACAGUCUUUGUCUGGUUCACUGCUGCAUGGGUCUCACCGUCGUCAAUAUGGUCUUAUCAGUCAUAAUCUGCAUAAAAUACCUGGUCUUUUGUUCAGUCUUUGAUAGAAUGUGUCUGAAACGUUCGGAUGGGAAAGAAGGUGAUGACGGCUCGGCAAUUGUGAAUAUGUUUCUUUUAAAUGCAGUGUAUUUGGUGUUUUUGGGCACUUUUCUGUUUAUUGUGUAUCAAUAUAAACGGUGUUUUCAGUGUAGAUAUA